UACGUAGGGUGCGAGCGUUGUCCGGAAUUAUUGGGCGUAAAGAGCUCGUAGGCGGUUUGUCGCGUCUGCUGUGAAAUCCCGAGGCUCAACCUCGGGCCUGCAGUGGGUACGGGCAGACUGGAGUGCGGUAGGGGAGAAUGGAACUCCUGGUGUAGCGGUGGAAUGCGCAGAUAUCAGGAAGAACACCGAUGGCGAAGGCAGUUCUCUGGGCCGUAACUGACGCUGAGGAGCGAAAGCGUGGGGAGCGAACAGG
rnacentral:rRNA from 1 species